CAGCCGCCGCGGUAAUACGAAGGGGGCUAGCGUUGCUCGGAAUUACUGGGCGUAAAGGGCGCGUAGGCGGACAGUUCAGUCGGGGGUGAAAGCCCGGGGCUCAACCUCGGAAUUGCCUUCGAUACUGGCUGUCUUGAGUAUGAGAGAGGUGUGUGGAACUCCGAGUGUAGAGGUGAAAUUCGUAGAUAUUCGGAAGAACACCAGUGGCGAAGGCGACACACUGGCUCAUUACUGACGCUGAGGCGCGAAAGCGUGGGGAGCAAACAGGAUUAGAUACCCCCUAGUCCCUGUCUCUUAUACA
rnacentral:rRNA from 1 species